AUUGAACGCUGGCGGCAUGCCUUACACAUGCAAGUCGAACGGCAGCGCGGACUUCGGUCUGGCGGCGAGUGGCGAACGGGUGAGUAAUGCAUCGGAACGUGCCAUUGAGUGGGGGAUAACUAUCCGAAAGGAUAGCUAAUACCGCAUAUUCUGUGAGCAGGAAAGCAGGGGAUCGCAAGACCUUGCGCUCUUUGAGCGGCCGAUGUCAGAUUAGCUAGUUGGUGGGGUAACGGCCCACCAAGGCGACGAUCUGUAGCGGGUCUGAGAGGAUGAUCCGCCACACUGGGACUGAGACACGGCCCAGACCCCUACGGGAGGCAGCAGUGGGGAAUUUUGGACAAUGGGGGCAACCCUGAUCCAGCCAUGCCGCGUGAGUGAAGAAGGCCUUCGGGUUGUAAAGCUCUUUCGGCCGGGAAGAAAUCGCGUGGGCUAAUACCCUGCGUGGAUGACGGUACCGGACUAAGAAGCACCGGCUAACUACGUGCCAGCAGCCGCGGUAAUACGUAGGGUGCGAGCGUUAAUCGGAAUUACUGGGCGUAAAGCGUGCGCAGGCGGUUUUUUAAGACAGGCGUGAAAUCCCCGGGCUUAACCUGGGAACUGCGCUUGUGACUGGAAGGCUAGAGUACGGCAGAGGGGGGUGGAAUUCCACGUGUAGCAGUGAAAUGCGUAGAGAUGUGGAGGAACACCGAUGGCGAAGGCAGCCCCCUGGGCCGAUACUGACGCUCAUGCACGAAAGCGUGGGGAGCAAACAGGAUUAGAUACCCUGGUAGUCCACGCCCUAAACGAUGUCAACUAGGUGUUGGGUGGGUAAAACCAUUUAGUACCGGAGCUAACGCGUGAAGUUGACCGCCUGGGGAGUACGGCCGCAAGGUUAA
rnacentral:rRNA from 1 species